CACGUAGGGUGCGAGCGUUGUCCGGAAUUAUUGGGCGUAAAGAGCUCGUAGGCGGUGUGUCGCGUCGGCCGUGAAAACCUGCAGCUUAACUGUGGGCUUGCGGUCGAUACGGGCAUCACUGGAGUUCGGCAGGGGAGACUGGAAUUCCUGGUGUAGCGGUGAAAUGCGCAGACUAUCAGGAGGAACACCGGUGGGCGAAGGCGGGUCUCUGGGCCGAAUACUGAC
rnacentral:rRNA from 1 species